GCACUAGUCUAGAGGUUAGUAUCCUGUAUUUAUUUGCUUCUUUAGCACCAGUGAAAAUCUGCUGCUACUCUCUGAGUCAAGGAUAGGUAAACUUUUUUCAUGUGGAGAGCCCCUGACAUAAAACAAAAUAUACUCUAAUAUCAAAAUUAAGAACCACAGUAUUUUAAGAAACUUGUUUCAUAAGAUGUAAUGUAAGUACAUAUCAACUGAGGUUUAAAAUCUUUCUGUUCUUCAUUACGGUAAUCUCAGGGGGAGGAUGGAAGUGGAGCACAA
rnacentral:lncRNA from 1 species